CCAUAAAGACAACAGCAUACACUCAGAAGGACUCAGAUGCUCGGUGGUGUGUGGUUGGAGUAGCUGGUGUGAGUGCUCUGUGUGUUCAGCUGGAGAGUUUGAGGACACAGUGAGUGCAGCUGCAGCAGUCAUGGCUGCUGGGAUACUGACUGCCAGGUUAUUCCUGCUUUGUGUCCUGAGUGAAGUGAGCUACUCCUCAUCUCUUCCAAGAGUCGGACGUUCUCUGCACCCCCGAGCAUGGCAGGAUGGAAGAGGGGACCAGGAUGUGCAUGCAACUUUCAGCCCUUCCAGUACAUGAUGGCUCUGAGGCAGACAAACAGAAAUCUGCACCCUAAUGUGCACGAUCAGGUUCAAGUCAGAGCCCCGAGGCCAUAUCAGCCUCGGUCCAGUGUUGCCACCAGAGGCCUGUGGAAACCUCUGUGCUCCAGCCUCGAACACACCGAAACGAGCCUCUAGCCAAGCCCAGGAGCUUUGAUUUGAGCCUGAAGAUUCCUUUCGCUCACGGACAUCACGAUCCUUCUCAGUACCGACCGAGCGGCUUUCAUAUCCACAACAGUUUUAACAAUCCCCUUAGAAACUAUGAUGCUUCCAAGCCAGGAUACCAGUUCAGCAUCUCUGUUCCCGUUUCACACGCUUCACCUCCGCACCCACCCAGGCAGCCAUCACUCAAGGCCACACAGGCCCAAGUAUACUGGAUGGGAUCAUCAGGCACAGCAGCAUCUACAUGUGCCCUUUGACACAAGGCCGUCCUCUCCAUCUUGGCACUCCAGACGGCAUUUUGAGCAAACUGGUCGUGAGGACCCCCGUGAGCAGGAAUUCGCAUUUCGGCAGCCGGGUGUACCAAUCACCCAUCAAGGCCGCGCCAUCCUCCAAAAUAUGAUCGUUACAGUGGAUACCACAGCUCCCACAGAAUCCUGCACAGCAUGACUACUGGAGGCAUUACCGGGGGCACUACCAUGGACCUCACCGUGGUCCUUAUCAGAGCGGUUGCAGAGCAUUCAUCCUCUGAGCCUUGGCCAGCUUCCAUCGGUCAGACUGAGGAUGGAGGAGCCAAAGUCACAGAGCACGGAGGCUGACCUCAUCUGCUCGUCUGAAUAAAAUGUCAAAGCUGGACUCUGUAGUUUGACUCUUUGUGGCUCAAAGAAUAAUUUAACAUUUGGGCUGAGAUUAAUCUUAGA